GGUGAGAGGAGUGCAUUAUACAAUUUGCAGCUGAUUCAUAAGAAGCCUUGAGAAAAGAACCAGGGAAUAAUGUUGUAACUUAAUAGCUGAAAUUCUGUCUUUACAGGGUAGAGUCAUUCGUACAGCACCUAUAAAUCAGUGUUGGGGCAGUGCAUCAUCAAAUAUGCAAGCUUUUUUAAGAGAAAUGGGAUUUUAUUGAAAACUCCUGGAGAGCAUCCUUCUGUCACUUUCAUUUCAAGUUCCAUCAUACUUUAACUUUUGGAAGGCCUUAUCCCUCUGCCCAGGGGCAACCAGCCUGAGAUGGGAUCCUCAGGAUUAGGUCUCUGAAAAACAGCAGUUAUCUUGAACUUCUAAACAUUUCUCACCAUGGGAAUACCAAGUUUAUGGGAAUGUUUGCUCGUGGAUUUGAUUGUCUCUCAUCCCAAAGGUGAUGUAAAAUAAGUUUGUGCAAUGGGAUUACCAGGAAGAAACCAAUGAGCUCCAUUUGCUUGCAGUUCAUCAUCUGUAUUGAGGAAGGCAGUGAUUAUUGCUUAAGACACCAUCCUUUGAAGAGUAUAUUGUACAAUAAUGCAAUAAUGCUCCAUUUCAGGAACUUAUAAUGCCAAUAUUUGAAGUGGGGCACCAUUUAGCUGAAUGGUGACAGCAAGAGUAACAUUGUUUAUCAGAAUACACUGGACUGACUUACUGCUUUUGCUGCCUUUCUUUAUCCUCAUGAGCUUGUAACACCCUGCUGAAGAUGAAAAGUGAAACUCUUGGGAAAAGAAAACUGGUUUUCUGUUUAUUUUUUUACUUUCAAGGAACACGGGACACUUAAGGAAAAUGCACAGGAGUUGAAUGUUCUGUAAAAUUUCAUAGAAAACUGUAGUUAUGUGGCUCCAAAAAGGACUCCUUGACCUGCAUCACGUCCUCAUGACUAAGCAACUGUGCCAUAGAAAGCACAUAUCAAAGGAUUUGCUCUUAGCCAGAUCCUCCUCUGCUUUUCCACUGCUCCAUUUGUGCAUCUUCUUGUCUCUAAAAAGUGGUAGCAAGUCUAAUAAGUUCACACUUCAGCCUUGACACAACUCAACAGAAAUCUUUGUCCACCACAAGAUGCAAAAUAAUUGAACCCACGCUUCCUGGCAUCUGACUAGAGACAUGGAGUAUUCAGAAUAUCUCAGUAAAUUUAAAGUUUUAGGUUCUUCACUAAGUAAACCCUUUACUUUAUAUGUAUUAAGUCACAAUGUAAAAAAAAAAAACCCCGAACCAAUCAACCACCAACAAAAAAAUCCCACCACCAAAAAAAACUCCAACAAAAAACUCCAAACCUGUAAUUUGUAGAUGGUAAUAUUCAUAUUCCUUUGAAAAAUCUCCUAAUAGCAUCAGGCAAUCCAACUCCUCUAGUUUUUGUGAGAAAAAAAUAAUAGAAUAUUUAAUAUAUUUAAAUUUAAUACAACAGAAAAUUUGCCUUGUCUUGCCUCAUUUUUUUUUUUGGUUGGAUGGUUGGUUUUGUCUUGGCCUUUCUGUGUUCAUGGUAAUUUCCUCCUUAAUCCUCCUUAGAUUUAGGAUUAGAACUCAAUCCCCACACUAGGUUCAGAAGUUUGCUGUAUUAAUCUGUUGUUGCUUGAAUCCCUGAAGUGGGUUCUAUUUUAUUAUGGAAUGCUUAGGAAUUACUGAAACUUCAGUGAAGACUGUUAAUGAGAAGCUGGAAGUCCAAUGAUUAAUUAAUAUAUUGCGGUCUCUUUUACUUGGUUUUAAUUCUGUACCAUUGCCUGGGGGGACAUAUCUCUUAGAUUGUCUGGAAGCAGCCUCAUUAUUAACAGAAAUGGGCCAUAACUUCUUCAAAUAAAAUAUUUUCAUUGAUCUUAAAAGAGAAAUUUUAACUUUGAGCACUUUAUUUAGUUUCAUAACUUUUUGUCUUCUUGUUGUAACGCUGGGACCCCAAGGUCUACUCUACAAGGCCCCACCACUUUGUGCUGUACAUCAUUAGGACUUGCAGGUCAAAUUCAUGUGGGUGAGGAGCUACACAGAUUUAAAACUCAAAAACAACAGCAAAUAUUGAAGUUUGAGUGGAUGGCAUUUGUCCCCAGAAGUCACUUAGAGUGAAAGUACCCAGUGCCAUUUUGAUUCCGGAAGGAGCACCUUUCUGAUACCUUUUAUAAAAACCCAAACAAUUCCAAUAUUUAACCUACAGUCACGAGAGCUUAGGAUCACAGACAGUUUCAGAUGUGCAGCUUACACCCAGAUCUUCUUGAAAUCAAGAAGAAAAAGGACUCCCAAAUUAGGCCCAGUGGGUAGUUUUCAAAGGGCAAUCAAAAAGUUCAAAAUUAUUUGUUGGUGUCUGAUCUACAAAAAUCACCAAAAGCUACCAGCUGGCAUUUUCUGGCCGUGGGAAUGGCUGUAGGGAUGCUAACUCUACUAGCCCCAGCACCAAGAGCUACCUUCUGUCUAAUUAAAUCCCAUUUUAGUUCCAGGAACACAAGGAUUCACUUUGUAUUUUGUGAAACUAUCUGGAUUAAAAAAAUAUAUAAAUUAGUCAGUGAAAUAUUAUUUUGCUUUUUUUUUAUUUUUAGGAAAAAAUUGUCUCGAGAAUACAAGAAUUACUGGAAAAUUUGGAAUACUGUGUGUAACAGUUUUGAGUAAUGUUAUGUAACA